CGANAUCCAAAUGGUUGUUGGGAANUCACNUUCUCCAGUANCCGAAGCUACACGCNNGAGGUUGANCCGCCAUGGGGAGUACNGNCCGCCNAGGUGGAAACUCAACAGNAAUGGACGGGGACCCGCACANACGGUGGAUGAUGUGGGUUUAAUUCGAUGCAACGCGAAAAACCUUACCCACCCUUUGACAUGUACGGAAUUUGCCCAGAGAUGGNUUAGUGCUCGAAAGAGAACCGUAACACAGGUGCUGCAUGGCUGUCGUCAGCUCGUGUCGUGAGAUGUUGGGUUAAGUCCCGCAACGAGCGCAACCCUUGUCAUUAGUUGNUACAUUUAGUUGGGCACUCUAGUGAGACUGNCCGGUGACAAACCGGAGGAAGGUGGGGAUGACGUCAAGUCCUCAUGGCCCUUAUAGGUGGGGCUACACACGUCAUACAAUGGCUGGUACAAAGGGUUGCCAACCCGCGAGGGGGAGCUAAUCCCAUAAAACCAGUCGUAGUCCGGAUCGCAGUCUGCAACUCGACUGCGUGAAGUCGGAAUCGCUAGUAAUCGUGGAUCAGAAUGUCCACGGUGAAUACGUUCCCGGGUCUUGUACACACCGCCCGUCACACCAUGGGAGCGGGUUCUGCCAGAAGUAGUUAGCCUAACCGCCAAGGAGGGCGAUUACCACGGUCAGGGUUCGUGACUGGGGUGAAGUCGUAACCAAGGUACC
rnacentral:rRNA from 1 species